AGAGUGAAUAGUAUAAUGGACCCCCAUGAAUAGAGAUAGGGAAAUGGAAACUUAGAGGUGGUAAAGGAUUUACUCAGUCUUCCAGGCAAUAUCAAGACUAGAAAUGAUUCCCAGUGAGCUAUUAAACCAAGGAUUUUCAUAAAGAUGGCACUGGGUAAUGAUAGUGAUGAUGUUGAUGAUGACGAUGAUGACAUCAGGAUUUUUUUUUUUGAUUGGCGGUGAGGCAGAGAGAGGUUUGUGUAUAAAUAGAAAAAGCACACUCAACAUACUUAUUGGUUUUGUAAUGCAGACUACAGUGAAUAAGUUAAAAAAA